CGAGGGGUCUUCAAGGGUGGUACCGGGCUCAUAACCCGAAGGUCGGGAGUUCAAAUCUCCCCCCCGCCACCA
rnacentral:tRNA from 1 species